rnacentral:tRNA from 1 species
AUUGCUUUGGCAGAUAAGUGCAAUAAAUUUAGAAUUUAUGAAUGUAUGUAUAAUACAGGUAAUA